rnacentral:rRNA from 1 species
GACGAACGCUGGCGGCGUGCCUAUACAUGCAAGUAGAACGCACAGUUUAUACCGUAGCUUGCUACACCAUAGACUGUGAGUUGCGAACGGGUGAGUAACGCGUAGGUAACCUGCCUGGUAGCGGGGGAUAACUAUUGGAAACGAUAGCUAAUACCGCAUAAUAUUGAUUAUUGCAUGAUAAUUGAUUGAAAGAUGCUAUUGCAUCACUACCAGAUGGACCUGCGUUGUAUUAGCUAGUAGGUGAGGUAACGGCUCACCUAGGCGACGAUACAUAGCCGACCUGAGAGGGUGAUCGGCCACACUGGGACUGAGACACGGCCCAGACUCCUACGGGAGGAAGCAGUAGGGAAUCUUCGGCAAUGGACGAAAGUCUGACCGAGCAACGCCGCGUGAGUGAAGAAGGUUUUCGGAUCGUAAAGCUCUGUUGUAAGAGAAGAACGGGUGUGAGAGUGGAAAGUUCACACUGUGACGGUAUCUUACCAGAAAGGGACGGCUAACUACGUG